GAUGAACGCUGGCGGCGUGCCUAAUACAUGCAAGUCGAGCGAACAGACGAGGAGCUUGCUCCUCUGACGUUAGCGGCGGACGGGUGAGUAACACGUGGAUAACCUACCUAUAAGACUGGGAUAACUUCGGGAAACCGGAGCUAAUACCGGAUAAUAUAUUGAACCGCAUGGUUCAAUAGUGAAAGACGGUUUUGCUGUCACUUAUAGAUGGAUCCGCGCCGCAUUAGCUAGUUGGUAAGGUAACGGCUUACCAAGGCAACGAUGCGUAGCCGACCUGAGAGGGUGAUCGGCCACACUGGAACUGAGACACGGUCCAGACUCCUACGGGAGGCAGCAGUAGGGAAUCUUCCGCAAUGGGCGAAAGCCUGACGGAGCAACGCCGCGUGAGUGAUGAAGGUCUUCGGAUCGUAAAACUCUGUUAUUUGGGAAGAACAAAUGUGUAAGUAACUAUGCACGUCUUGACGGCACCUAAUCAGAAAGCCACGGCUAACUACGUG
rnacentral:rRNA from 1 species